AUAAUAAUCUCAGAUUCUCACACAUCUGUCACCACCCAAAACCCAUUCAUGUCCUUAAACCCUAGUAGAACACACACAAACACCGAACCUCCACUUCAAAUCGCCUUUCACCUCUCAUGCAAUCCCCCAUACAUAUCCCCACCUCAAACCCACCAUUCAAUUCAUACACCCAAUGGCAAAAACACAACAAAUUCCACUCCUUUAUCCCAAUUAACCAAAACCCCUCUUUCCAAACACUCUCAAACCCACCAAAAUCACUAAAAACUUCAUUCCAAUUCGACUUCGAAGACGAAAAAUUAAGAAAAGAGCUCAAACCAACAGCACCUACGUUGCUUCCGGUUCUUAUUCGACAGUCUGAUGGCGUUUGUCGAUAUGUUUGGGAUGGUAGUGAUUUGAAAUUGGUUUCUGUUGAUGGGAAGACGGUUUGUUUUGGUGGGUUUGAGGAUUUGGGAGAUGGGUUUCGAAGGUUGUUUAGGAGGUGUAGUUUGGGUGUGAGGAAUUUCUUGUUUCCUAGAGAGAUUAGUGAAAAUUAUUUUGAAUAUGUGAAGUGGAAGUUUUUGCAUAGAGUGUUUAGUUCUGCACUUCAGGUUCUUGCUACACAGGCAAUGUUCAGGGCUAUCGGAAUCGGAUACGCCCGUUCACUUCCUUCUGCAGCGGCCCUGAACUGGGUGUUAAAAGAUGGUCUUGGACGGUUAAGUCGGUGCAUCUAUACAGCUAGCCUAGCUUCGGCUUUUGAUACGAAUCUAAAGAGAGUUAGGUUCUCGACAUCGGUUGUUUUCAGCUUGAGCAUUGGAAUUGAGUUGAUGACUCCUGCUUUUCCGCAAUACUUUUUGCUUCUUGCUUCAAUAGCCAAUGUUGCUAAGCAGAUAAGCCUCGCCUGUUACCUUGCAACUGGUACUGCCGUGCAUCGAAGUUUUGCAGUAGCUGAUAACCUCGGGGAAGUUUCUGCCAAGGCACAGAUUCAAACAGUGUGCUUUGACAACCUUGGUCUUAUGCUAGCCGCAGCCUUAAAUGUCAUGUUAAAAAACAACCAAAGAUUGCAAGCAUUUUUGCCCUUUGUUGUAUACCCAAUUUUCACAGCCAUUGAUCUUUACGGGAUAUAUCAGAGUUUGAAACACGUGCAUCUGCAAACAUUAACUAAGGAUAGGCUAGAGAUGAUCAUAGAUACAUGGAUUCAAUUUCGAUACGUUCCGUCACCAGCGGAAGUAAGUAAACGGGAAGGCAUUAAUUUCAUCCCGAGCAAAGGUAGACUAAAAUGGCCCAUAAGGAUUGGUGGCUUGAACCCCAAAUGCCAGAUACCUAACACAUCAAUGAUGGCGAUGCAAUCUUUAUGUAGAGACGACUUUUACUUUGUAUGCACGGAGGUCUGCUUUCACGGAAUUGAAAGAACCCAAGGUAUUCUUCUUUGUUUACGUGAAGAAGGGGCAAGUACUACAGAUAUCAUCAUGGGUGUCUUACAGGCAUGCUAUAUUCGCGAGCGGCUACUAUGCAAGACCGGUGGUAUUUUAGAAGAUCAGGAGUGGUUGGAACUAGCAAAAGACUGCAAGCGGUGUGCACGAGAAGAUAUGGAGUUGCUGAAUGAAAAGAUGGUUGAAUUAGGUUGGGCUUGUAAAAAUAUAUUGUUGAGCACAGAUGAACAAACAAGGUUUAGUUUUAUAGACGACUAAUGUUAACAAGUCCUUACACCACCGGUAGUAAAAGGUGAAUGUGAAAUGUUUAACAAGUUUGUGUUUUUUUUAUAUAGCAAUGAGCCAAUGAAGGACUGAUAAAUAAUCUGUGUUUUGAUGACGUGGGUACUCAAUCAGCAAAGUCAAAGUCAACGACAAUCGUGAAAAUAAAAUAAAGAGUGCUGAACACAAACCAGAAAAAAGAAGCUGAAAGUCAGAAGUUGGAAGCUCCUGACACACCAACAGCUAGCUGGUGAUAGGAAGCUAAGGUUACUGUACAACCUUGGGACUUGAAUUGAAUAAGUCAAACUGAUUAGACAACUCUCUAUAAAGCAUAAAGGUGUCCUUGAGACACACAAACCUGAAACAUAUCCAAAGAGGCGAGGCGAGGCUAACCCUGCAAGAAACAUCAGGGUGGGUAGGAUAAGCUUGCCAAGACUAGAAGGUGCAAAGCUGGCAUGAGGUCCCCUUGGGCAGAACAAUCAACCUACAAAAGGAGGGUCUUGUUCCAGCCGAAAGUAAAUUCCGAUCAAGCUAGGAGCUAUCUUUUGGAGUUGAUCCUGGACCUAGCUUCUCCCUGUCAUACUCUGCUUUAACAUGUUUCAUUUUAUACACCUAAAUAAAUUAUCUUCUUUUCAUGCUUGACAACAUCCAUAUGGUGGUUUGGUCUUUAAAUUGUAGAAGUUACAUCAUGGAAUAGUAGAAAUCUUUUUAAAACGUA